CAUAAUCAUUAGUUUUUUAAUUGAAAACUUGUAUGAAUGGUUAGACAAGAGAACUUCUGUCUCUUUUCAAAAGAUUGAAUUUUACUUUUAAGUGAGAAGGCUUAAAUUUAUUAGAGGGACGAUAAGACCCUAUAAAGCUUUAUAAGAGGUAAGUUUUUAAAAGAAAUAUAAAAUAAAUGUGGAAAUUUGUUUCUUAUUUUGUUGGGGUGACAUUUAUAUAAAUGAUAGUAGCUGUUAAAUAUUAAUACAUGAGCUAAAUGGAGAAAGAUAAUUGGUCCUAAGUAAAGAUUAAAAGACGAAGUUACUUUAGGGAUAACAGCGUAAUUUUUUUUGAGAGUUCUUAUCGAAAAAAAAGUUUGCGACCUCGAUGUUGAAUUAAAGUAUCUUUAUUAGUGUAGCCGCUAUAAGAA
rnacentral:rRNA from 1 species